rnacentral:rRNA from 1 species
UACGAAGGGGGCUAGCGUUGCUCGGAAUCACUGGGCGUAAAGCGCACGUAGGCGGACUCUUAAGUCGGUGGUGAAAUCCUGGAGCUCAACUCCAGAACUGCCUUCGAUACUGAGAGUCUUGAGUCCGGGAGAGGUGAGUAGAACUGCGAGUGUAGAGGUGAAAUUCAUAGAUAUUCGCAAGAACACCAGUGGCGAAGGCGGCUCACUGGCCCGGUACUGACGCUGAGGUGCGAAAGCGUGGGGAGCAAACAGG